ACCUGUCUGAGUCUCUGCUGCACGUGGUCAUCGGCCCUGAACACGCGCUCCCCACAACACCAGCAUCGGCACCGCCGGAGGACUUGCUGGGAGGGUUGAGAGCCACUGGUCUACGCCAUUCUGCCUCCGGCACCCCCCACCCAGGUCGCGGGCUCCAAAACCCAUGUGGGCUUAAGCCCGACAGGCACAUCAUCUCUCCAAACAUCGCAGCCGAGCACUGUGUCUGCCAGGCACUGGCGAGACUCGGAAAAAAAAGAGCAGGCUUUGAUCCAGUAGGACCGUGGCCUUAUAAGAGAGGACAAUGUGGGCACCUCCCUCUCCCUCCCCCACAGUCUCUCAUCCACUACGAGGACCCAGUGAGAAGGCAGCCGUCUUAAGCCGGAAAGAGGACUCUCACC